AUGAAAAAAAAAAACUCACUUUUGAAAUUCAAUUUUCAGCACCGACCCAUUAAACAAAAGUCUCAAUUUUCAAAAGCAAAUCCAUCUAAAUCACAGAAAGGAUCGAACUUUGACAGAAUAUCGGAAACCCGGAGAGAGAGAGAGGGAAUCACGGGUCAAGGGAGAAAAGUCAAAGAAUGGAAAAGAGAGGAAGCUUCGGAAAUGGGAAAAAGGAGAAAGAAUGAAGUCAUGAAUAAUGACAUAACGUUAGAGAGAGAUGAGAGAUGGCAUCGUGGAAAUUUCGUAAAUCGUUUUCGAUUGGAUGAGAGAGAAAGUGUGUACGUGUAG